UUUAACCAUAGUGGCAGUUCUGUGACCUUUGAAUGCCGUGAAAUCUCUGAGCGGUGCUGCUUGUUCAUGAAGACUUGUGCUGCAGAAUCCAGCAACUUCAUCCAGGAUUAGGAAUAUAAGCUCUGUAUUACAAGAAUCUUGGCACACUUGACACAAUAGAAAACCCCUGUGUUGGGAUCACGGGACAUUGUGUUUGUAUCUUUUUGACUGCUCGAUGAACACCAAACCGUGGAAAUUGAAGCUGCUACAGGAAAUGGGAAGGUCUAUCAUAAGCUCCAAGCGGCCAGCUCUGCUCUAGCUGGGCAGAGAGCAAUCGCAGGAGAGCAGCGGGAACUGCAGGCGGUUGAGCAGUGAAUGGAAGAGGAGGAAAUGGAUACAGUCAGGGAGAACUACUCCUUAAAUACUCUUGGCAGCAGAGGAGAGCAGCAAAGGCGGCAGCAGCUUGAGAGGAUGCCAAGUCAUAGCAGGUCACUUGAGGUUGGGGAUGAGCUUCGCAUGUUGAUAGCCUGAGGGAAACAGCCAGGGAAGAUGGGGCCCUGUGGUUUUAUGUUCAUCCCGAAUUUCCAUUAAAUUAUUUUAGAUUGCAAGAUAUUUGAUCUGUUACUUAUUGUAAGUUUAUUUCAAGAACAAGAAAUGUUUUUUAAGCGAUAGCAUGAGUGUAACAGGGGCUGGCCAGUUAGCUCAGUUG